rnacentral:rRNA from 1 species
CCUACGGGAGGCAGCAGUGAGGAAUAUUGGUCAAUGGCCGUAAUCCUGAACCAGCCAAGUCGCGUGCAGGACGAAGGCUCUACGGGUUGUAAACUUCUUUUGUACGGGAGUAAAAUGACUUACGUGUAGGGUUUUGCAUGUACGGUACGAAUAAGCAUCGGCUAACUCCGUGCCAGCAGCCGCGGUAAUACGGAGGAUCCGAGCGUUAUCCGGAUUUAUUGGGUUUAAAGGGUGCGUAGGUUGUUUUUUAAGUUAGCGGUGAAAUAUUGUUGCUCAACCAUGAGGUUGCCGUUGAAACUGGAGGACUUGAGAGUGUUUGAGGCAGGCGGAAUGCGUGGUGUAGCGGUGAAAUGCAUAGAUAUCACGCAGAACACCGAUUGCGAAGGCAGCUUACUAGGCCAUAACUGACACUGAUGCACGAAAGCGUGGGGAUCAAACAGGAUUAGAUACCCUAGUAGUC